rnacentral:lncRNA from 1 species
GAAAAGUAUGAGAAUGAAUAAGAUGAUGUGCUUGAAAUGAUAUCAAAAGUAUGAGAAUGAAAAGAGAUUGAUGAAAUUGACAAAUGAAAAAUAAAUUGAGAAAUAGAAAAAAUAGUUUUGGCAUAUUAAUUGAGAAAUGGGUGAGUAUUUAUAGAGUUAGGAGUGAGUUUUGGGGUUAGAUCUGAUUUGGAUUAAUUUAAAAUAUUAUUUUGACUGUUUGAUUUUAAUUUCAGCCGUUGGAUUUUUUUUUUUUACCGUUAAAAUAGCUUAGAUUUAAUAUAGAUCAUUGAUCUGAAGUUACUAUUGGAAUUUUUUUUUUUUAAAAAAUUAAUUUGAAUUGCAACGGUCACUUUUAAGCUGGAAUAAAGCUAGCAGUGUGGGCUAGUUUCUUUUUAAAAGUUACUAUUAUAUUUUUUUAAUUUUAAAAAAAGACAUUUGAAUUACAACGGCCACUUGACCAGGAGCAGACACGUGGCAUGGGCCAGAAGACAAAGCCACCAGUUGUGCCAUCUGUUGGUGGGCUCCACUGAAUAGUUUUGGGCUCAGGCAAUACUUGGAUUGGUAUUUGGGUCCAAAUUUAAGUUUUUCCAAAUUUUAGCCCCUUCACUUUCUUGGGUUGUGAGAAAUUUUGGGCAAUAAUUUAGAAUAUUUUAGGUUUAGCCUCUUGGGAUGGCGUAAACUGCCAUUUUAGCAUGUAUAAUUAGUGAGAAGCAAGGGGAGGAUGAUGAAGAUGAUGGAUAUCAUGAAGGUAGUCGCAGGAUAGUGAGACCCUCUGUGAAUCUUGAUGAUUCUGAUUCAGACUUGAAAAUAAAAAAUAAAAUAAAAAGAAUAAGAAAAUGAUACCACAGGACAGUGAGAUCCUCUGUGAAUCUUGAUGAUUCUGAUUAUGAUUCAGACUGAAAAAAUAGAAGAAGUAGAAUAAGAAAAUGAUACCCGAGUUUUCAGAUGCUUUCUGGUUGCAUGCGCUUACACUUGUUGUCACAUCUAAUUUGUCACCUUAUGAGUGGAACUUUUAUGUUUGUUUCUUUUUUAGGAUCAAAAUUGCAUUGGAAAUAUAUUCUUCCAGUCCUGCAUAUUGGCUAGAAAGUACUCUGUUUUUUUAAUGUUAACUAACUGUAUGGCGAAGAUAUCAAAGGGAAGAAUUAAGGCUGAAUAUUAAUUAACAAGUUCACAUUGUUUAUGUUAUGUGGUUCUCACCAAAAUUUGAACAUGAAUGAAAGGGAUUUUUAGAUUAAACAAUGACUAAAAAGAAC